CCACAGGGAUAACUGGCUUGUGGCAGC
rnacentral:snRNA from 1 species